rnacentral:rRNA from 1 species
AACGAACGCUGGCGGCGCGCCUAAUGCAUGCAAGUCGAGCGACGCAUGCCCGGUGGGUAACCACUAGGUAUGACGGAGCGGCGAACGGGUGAGUAACACGUGAGUAACCUGCCCCGAAGACCGGGAUAGCCCGGGGAAACCCGGAUUAAUACCGGAUACCCUCCCUGGAUCGCAUGGUCCGGUGAGGAAAUGCCUUUGUGCUUCGGGAUGGACUCGCGGCCUAUCAGCUUGUUGGUGAGGUAACGGCUCACCAAGGCUACGACGGGUAGCUGGUCUGAGAGGACGAUCAGCCACACUGGGACUGAGACACGGCCCAGACUCCUACGGGAGGCAGCAGCAGGGAAUCUUGUCCAAUGGGCGCAAGCCUGAGACAGCGACGCCGCGUGAGGGAUGAAGGCCUUCGGGUUGUAAACCUCUUUCAGGAGGGACGAAAUUGACGGUACCUCCAGAAGAAGCCCCGGCCAACUACGUG